CCUGCUCAGCCUGGCCUGGGCAGCCCUCAUCAGCCACCAGGCCCUCCUGGCCCCAGAGCCGCUCCUCCCCUCGAGGACUGUGGCUGGGCUCGUGUCUGCCUUUCUGUGUCACUGCCGUCCCUCUCGGCUGCAGGGAUACCUCGUGAGGGCCCUUCCUGGCCACCUCAGUCCUUCCUGGCUUAGUGCUCUGCUCCGAGUCCCAGAAGGCGUGGGUUCCCACAUGUUUCUGCUUAUUUGUUUGAUGUCUGUUUUCCCCAACACCCCCAUGAAGGGACAGUGGUGUAUUCACCUCUGUCCCCAGAGCCUGGCAAGGGCUUCCAGGGGUACUGGGUUGAGCUGAGAACUCAGGCAUCCAGAGAACCAGGCUAAGCAAAUCUCAGCUUGUUCUCCUAUCCCUCAAGACCCUAAAGGACAUGCACCCUCGAGCCAGUGCAGCCCGGCGGGAGUCUCCCCCUCCUGCAGUCUCGAGCCCCACCCUGAGUGUGUGAGACACUGAGGUGUGCCUUCAGGGAUCAUGGGGUUCCUGUCUGGGCACUGAGCACCUACCAGACAGCGAGGUCCUGGGAAGAGGAUGUGGCCAGUGACUGGGCAGCUGGCAGGGCCUUGUCCACUUGGGGCAGGCACUCAAUGGACCCAGCCACACCCCACUCCUUUUUGUUCUUGCUCAACUGGAAACUGUUCUUCUCCGUGGGGAAUUUCCUCAAGUACAGCCCCGUGUGCAGGACAGGUGUGGCCCUGCCAGGCAGCCCAGCCGCUGACCUUUGGACCCCUGGAGAACAAACACUUCCAAGCUGUUGAGGACAGAGGAACAGAGGUGCUCGAUCUUGAGGCCCUGACACUUACUCCAGGUGGACAAACGCUGCCAAGGCACCGAAUUCCAUCCCUGACCCCGGAGAUUAGUUUUCGAUGUCUGGGAAUGCAGUUUCUGGAUGAUGUGGGUUGGCUGCCUGUGCUUACUGAGGGGACCUCUGGACCCUCGGCUUUGCUCUGUUGAUCUACAUGCUCAACCCUUCACCAAUGCCAUGCAGUCUUUUGUACUACACCCAAGUCAUGUCUCAUGGAAUAGAUGUACAGAAGUAUGGCUGAUCUUUGCGUUAGAUUCCUGUAUCCGGUGACCCUGCUAAACUUGCCUAUUGGUUCCAGAAGUUGCCUUGUAAACUCCUUGCUGCCCUCCCUCUCCGUUUGGAAGUGGUGCCUUCAGCCUCCACCUGAGGCUUCACUGUUCCAGCAUCUCUCAGGUGCCAGUCUUCCCCACAGCGAUGGGAAGGGUUGACCCAAGGGCGGUAUCACAUCAACUGUGUGCCUCAGUGCUCAGCACCAACUCGAGGUGAUGCCCACGCUUGUGUUCCCAGGCCCACACCCGAGUAUCGUCCUUCCAGCCAACUCUACAAGCAAGACCUGCAGUGGUCAUGCUCUGUUGGAGACUGACUACAGCUUUGAAUAAAACCAGCAGUCAAAUCAUUUCAAGAUCUUGCUUAGAAUUCAACAAUAGCGUCUCACGACCACCAUCUCCGAGCCACAGGUGUCUUGCCGAGCCAUCCACCUAGGCCACCUCCCUGCCCCGCUGAGAAAAUGAGACUCAGGACUCGCCUACCAUGACCAGCUCACGUGAGCCCCCAGGGGACAGCUGCGCCUGGUGCCAGCAAGUGUUCCAAGAAUGGAGAGGACCAAGAAUGCUCAGCUCCGAGGCGUUCACGCGAUUAUGUGGGCUGCAGUAGACUGUCAGGAUUGAAGUCUUCAGAGUCUCACAGGGAGACAGCAGCAGACACGUGACCCCCAACACCCUGAAGUCGAGUUCUGAUUUGGACCUGCUAUGUGCUCUCUGGGAGCCACACGGGCCCCUCACCUACACAGCAGUCACAGAAGAGGGGGCGACUCCCACCUGCCCUCACCAGCCAGAUGUCAAUGGAUGGUACUUUUGCACAUCAACAUUAUUAUUAAGGUGUCACCAGCUUUAAAUGUCACAGCAGGGCCAUGCUGACGUACUUUGGCAUGGAGGAAAACUUGAAAAGCUGGCAGAUGGAUACUUUGCUGAGGAAGGAUUUUGUGAAAUAAAUGUAGUUGCUCUUAAUUAUGCAGCAACUGCAGUUUUUUUCAAUUGCUAAUAAAUAUCAGAUUUGUGGGCU